rnacentral:rRNA from 1 species
AGCGAACGCUGGCGGCAGGCCUAAAACAUGCAAGUCGAGCGCUCGUAGCAAUACGGGAGCGGCAGACGGGUGAGUAACACGUGGGAACGUACCCUUUGGUUCGGAACAACCCAGGGAAACUUGGGCUAAUACCGGAUAAGUCCGCAAGGAGAAAGAUUUAUCGCCGAAGGAUCGGCCCGCGUCUGAUUAGCUUGUUGGUGAGGUAACGGCUCACCAAGGCGACGAUCAGUAGCUGGUCUGAGAGGAUGAUCAGCCACACUGGGACUGAGACACGGCCCAGACUCCUACGGGAGGCAGCAGUUAGGAAGCUUGGACAAUGGGCGCAAGCCUGAUCCAGCCAUGCCGCGUGAGUGAUGAAGGCCCUAGGGUUGUAAAGCUCUUUCAGCGGGGAAGAUAAUGACGGUACCCGCAGAAGAAGCCCCGGCUAACUUCGUGCCAGCCGCCGCAGUAAUAC